CUGGGCAGAUGAUGCCUACCUUAUUGCCUAGGUGACACCACUGUCACAUGCUUGACAACAUUGUCACAUGCUCAAUGACUAUGCCUGCUUAGUUCACCUGGAGCAGGCUGUGCCUAACAUCCUGUGCACGUAUACUUAAAGUAGAUCUGAGUAGGAGGUCACCACAAAGCAUGUCACAAGAACCCUGAGGAUGAAACAGUGCCUUUUGCUGAGGGCCAGUAUGACAAGCACUGUUGAAAUUUUCAAAAUAGGGCUUCCCAUAAAUCAGGAUGGUGGCUUCUGACUUCAGCUGAGAAAAUACCUUUUCUAGCUGAUUUAUAAUGAUAGUUGAAGGAUCUAUGCAAACCCAGGGUAUUGAGGAGUAGCUGAAGAACACUUAUCACAACUUGAGCCUGGACAUAAGUUGCAAAAGCUUGCGGAGUAAACAGACAGAAAAGUUUGAUGAUAAUCCUAUCAUUCAUAGGUUAUUAUUGUAACAUUCUAGAUUAGGCUGAUAUUUUGUGGUUGAAUAUGCAAUUUAAACGCAAUAUAGUAAUAUCUUCCAAGAUAUUAUGAUGUUUAUCAUCUACUGAGUAUUUAAACCACUAUUUUUACUGAAGACAGCAUCUGUAUAACACAAUUAAAAAUUAUAGGGAUAUCACUACCUGAAGAUGAUGAUAUUUAACUAUGAGGUGAGGAGUAUGCUGUGCCUGGGAAAAGUUCCCUGUUUGAAUUUCAGAAGUCAGUGUCACAGUACCAAAGGCCAUGCAGCGACAGUACAUUCUGUCAGGUCAUCCAGUGGCACACUCAUGCUGCAUGUGAUUUUUCAGGAAUAUUUUAAUAUUUCCUAUUUUACAUUGCAAUAUGACAGGAUAUUUCCAUGAGGAGAAAAUUGGAAAGCAAAUACAGAAGUAUAUAGAUUUUCAGACAUCACUUACAAGUAUUUUUUUUUACAAAAUGUUGGCUAUCAACAGAUGAGAAGGAUGGAGCAUUUCUCCAGAGAAAUGCACUUCAGUGCAACCUAACAUGUACAUCGGUCUUUGAAAUGUCAAUUUCUCUGACACACUGGUGACAUGAAUUUGCAGAAAACUGAAAAAAAACAAGAAGAAGGAAAAUGUUUAGCUGUAGAAGAGUAAAAUUUACCUUAAGAAAACACCAACCCUGGCAAGUUUCCAUUUCUGUAUGCAUUAUUAAGCUACCCCAACACGAUUCACAUUCACAAAUAUGCAUUCAUUAUUAAGGCAUGAACAGCUGGCUAGAUCGUGAGUUCCCUCAUGUAAAAAUUUCAUUACUUCAACCAGCUAAAGAAGAGGGAUUUCUUUUUUUUUAUUGGAAGAUAUCAGAAUCUGAUCUACUUGGUUUAUAUACCACUAAAAGUACUCUUAAGUAUCUUGGUCUUCUAUUAGUUUUGUACUAUGUUUCAAAUUGAAAUGGUUUAAACUUUUGCUAGUUUAAACUCUCAGUCUGCCAUAUGAAAUAAUUGAAUUCAAUGCAACAUUGUGAGAUCUGGGGAGGUUAAUUUUCUAUGUUUAGAAUGAAAUGGAAUAAAAACGGUUUUGAAUAACAAUAGGAUCAAAUUAUGCAUUGCUGUCUAGCAAAUAGAAACUUUUGAUUAAAGAAAGUCUUUGAAGUCUGGAUCAACAUUUGUCUUUGAAUAUUGUAAAUGCUUUCUAAGUAGGUAGAUACACACUCACACAGACUCCCCAUCUAUAUUGUAAAUUUAAUGGAAAACUAUUCCACUUUAUCCUUAUGCAUAAGUGCUAGGUUUUAUAAUUAUAGCUCCAUUCAGAAUCUAAUAAAAUUAAUGAAAAGCUUGUUUAAGUUCCUAUUCUUAGCACCUUAUUCAGAUACUUGUAUAUUUUACAUAUUUUAUAGUAUAUAUCUGCAUUCUAAGUGUUAGUUAACACUCUUACAUGGUUUGUAUCACAGCUAGAUUUGUCUUAGUACCAUUAUAGUUGAAAGAACAGCAUUAAGGAAGCCUUUCUUUUUAGUUCCUGAUUGUGAUUGCUAGCAUAUCAAAUUUAUCCCGUUGUAAUCCAGAUCAUUUUCCAGAAGCUUUGAGAACUAUAUGUAGUAGUUUGUUAAAGAGCUCACAAGAAACCCUAUACUGACAGAACAAAAAGCCCUUCGACUGUCACUUUAUGUCAUUAACAAUUUCUAAACCCAUUACAGAUGGGAUGGACUGAUUAAAAUUGAGGAGGGAGGAUCUUUUUCCCAGCCAGAAAUAUCCCCUGAGACUUUUCCUGCAUGUGAAGUUUCUGGUGAUUAAUGGGAGAAAAAUAGGACCGCCUGCCCCACAGUUGCCGCACACUUCAUUUAGGAAAGAUGUUAUUUGGUGAUGUGCUUGCAUUGGAUGUCUUUAGAAGUUAAAUAUGAACUGGAUAAUUUUUAAAAACAGUCUACAGUUUAAUUGCUCUUUUUUUCUUAUUUUUCAAUAUUCACUUUUUAUAGCUUCCCUGUGAUUUUUAUAAAUGGUGCUAAAAGACUAAAAUGUUUAUCUUUGAACCCCCACACCUCCCUUCCAUUCUGAUGUUUUAUUUCUGUAAAUGAAAGCUACAGCUGGAAUAUUGUUUUACUACAAAUCUUACACCAGCACUGUGGUUGUGAUGUGACACCAGAGAUUCUUAUCUGUAGGCUGGGUUGGAAUUAAUAAACAUUCUCACAUUGUGCAAAGUGUUGAGGAUGAACAGCAGUGCAGUGAGGUGCAUCCAACACUUCUUGCUUCCCACCUGAUCCUUGAAAUAUGACUCCUUUAAAAGGCUAAUAUUUGCUUUAUAUAGAAGUGACAAUAUUCAAGCACUAACAUGUACUGGAAUUAUUGUUGAGUUCUGUGUUCCUCUAAGUUCUUUUCUGAAGAGAAAAAUUGAGGGGGAAGAAAGAAUGAGAAUCAUUGAAAUAAAAAGAAGGAAAACAUAUUAUUUCUACCAAAAGUAUCAGCAGUGCUUUUAUAAGAGAAUUUCUAUCUAACCCAAGUGAUCAGCUUUCUUUGAGAUAUAAUAUUUUAUCAUUUCUUAAAAUAAGGAACUAAAAAGGGAAGAAAACUA